rnacentral:rRNA from 1 species
GACGAACGCUGGCGGCGUGCUUAACACAUGCAAGUCGAACGGAAAGGCCCUGCUUUUGUGGGGUGCUCGAGUGGCGAACGGGUGAGUAACACGUGAGUAACCUGCCCUUGACUUUGGGAUAACUUCAGGAAACUGGGGCUAAUACCGGAUAGGAGCUCCUGCUGCAUGGUGGGGGUUGGAAAGUUUCGGCGGUUGGGGAUGGACUCGCGGCUUAUCAGCUUGUUGGUGGGGUAGUGGCUUACCAAGGCUUUGACGGGUAGCCGGCCUGAGAGGGUGACCGGCCACAUUGGGACUGAGAUACGGCCCAGACUCCUACGGGAGGCAGCAGUGGGGAAUAUUGCACAAUGGGCGGAAGCCUGAUGCAGCAACGCCGCGUGCGGGAUGACGGCCUUCGGGUUGUAAACCGCUUUCGCCUGUGACGAAGCGUGAGUGACGGUAAUGGGUAAAGAAGCACCGGCUAACUACGUGCCAGCAGCCGCGGUGAUACGUAGGGUGCGAGCGUUGUCCGGAUUUAUUGGGCGUAAAGGGCUCGUAGGUGGUUGAUCGCGUCGGAAGUGUAAUCUUGGGGCUUAACCCUGAGCGUGCUUUCGAUACGGGUUGACUUGAGGAAGGUAGGGGAGAAUGGAAUCCCUGGUGGAGCGGUGGAAUGCGCAGAUAUCAGGAGGAACACCAGUGGCGAAGGCGGUUCUCUGGGCCUUUCCUGACGCUGAGGAGCGAAAGCGUGGGGAGCGAACAGGCUUAGAUACCCUGGUAGUCCACGCUGUAAACGGUGGGUACUAGGUGUGGGGUCCAUUCCACGGGUUCCGUGCCGUAGCUAACGCUUUAAGUACCCCGCCUGGGGAGUACGGCCGCAAGGCUAAAACUCAAAGGAAUUGACGGGGCCCCGCACAAGCGGCGGAGCAUGCGGAUUAAUUCGAUGCAACGCGUAGAACCUUACCUGGGUUUGACAUGGAUCGGGAGUGCUCAGAGAUGGGUGUGCCUCUUUUGGGGUCGGUUCACAGGUGGUGCAUGGCUGUCGUCAGCUCGUGUCGUGAGAUGUUGGGUUAAGUCCCGCAACGAGCGCAACCCUUGUUCACUGUUGCCAGCACGUUAUGGUGGGGACUCAGUGGAGACCGCCGGGGUCAACUCGGAGGAAGGUGGGGAUGACGUCAAGUCAUCAUGCCCCUUAUGUCCAGGGCUUCACGCAUGCUACAAUGGCUGGUACAGAGAGUGGCGAGCCUGUGAGGGUGAGCGAAUCUCGGAAAGCCGGUCUCAGUUCGGAUUGGGGUCUGCAACUCGACCUCAUGAAGUCGGAGUCGUUAGUAAUCGCAGAUCAGCAACGCUGCGGUGAAUACGUUCCCGGG